UUGGGUUUAUGUUUAGACUCUUUAUAUUCUCUUAUGUUUAGUAGUAGCUGGAUAACAGUGAGAUUGUUAUAAUUUAAGUUACUGUAUAUAUGACAGCAUUGUUGAAUUUGCUUCGUUUAAAAAGGGUUGUCAUGUAAUCACAUACCUUGAAGAAACAAAGGAACUUUGGUUUUGUUUUGACUUCCCUUAUAUCUUGUAUCCUCGACUUUUGGCUUUCCCUCAUCUUUGUGUCUGAUUCUGAUAGUAGCUGUUGACAUUAUAGUUGAGCAGGCACUUUGUUAACUCUAGAGAACCUCAGGCAUUCGAAUGUCAUCCAUAUCAACUUCCGAUGCCAGUUUCUGCGCCUACCAUGGUGACCACGGGUAACGGGGAAUCAGGGUUCCAUUCCGUACAGGGACCCUGAGAAACGGCUACCACAUGCAAGGAAGGCAGCAGGCACGCAAAUGACCCACAUCCGACGCGGGAAGGUAGUGAAGACAAAUAACAAUACAGGACUCUUUAGAGGCACUGUAAUUGUUAUGAGUCCACUUGAAAUCCUUUAACUCUGAUCAAUUGGAGGGAAGUCUGGUGCAGAGCCACUGACCCGUGUGCUGCAGCUGAAACUCCAUUA